GGGCCUAACACAUGCAAGUCGAACGAGAUCUUCGGAUCUAGUGGCGGACGGGUGAGUAACGCGUGGGAAUAUGCCCUUUGGUACGGAAUAGCCUCGGGAAACUGAGAGUAAUACCGUAUGUGUCCUCUGAUCGUGGUGGUUGGAGGAGAAAGAUUUAUCGCCAAAGGAUUAGCCCGCGUUGGAUUAGAUAGUUGGUGGGGUAAUGGCCUACCAAGUCUACGAUCCAUAGCUGGUUUGAGAGGAUGAUCAGCCACACUGGGACUGAGACACGGCCCAGACUCCUACGGGAGGCAGCAGUGGGGAAUCUUAGACAAUGGGGGCAACCCUGAUCUAGCCAUGCCGCGUGAUCGAUGAAGGCCUUAGGGUUGUAAAGAUCUUUCAGUUGGGAAGAUAAUGACGGUACCAACAGAAGAAGCCCCGGCUAACUCCGUGCCAGCAGCCGCGGUAAUACGGAGGGGGCUAGCGUUAUUCGGAAUUACUGGGCGUAAAGCGCACGUAGGCGGACUGGAAAGUUAGAGGUGAAAUCCCAGGGCUCAACCUUGGAACUGCCUUUAAA
rnacentral:rRNA from 1 species